AGAGUUUGAUCCUGGCUCAGGAUAAACGCUGGCGGCGCACAUAAGACAUGCAAGUCGAACGAACUUAACUCAUUCUUUUAGAUUGAGAGCGGUUAGUGGCGGACUGGUGAGUAACACGUAAGCAACCUGCCUAUUAGAGGGGAAUAACAGUGAGAAAUCAUUGCUAAUACCGCAUAUGCUAAUAGUAUCGCAUGAUACAGUUAGGAAAGGAGUAAUCCGCUAAUAGAUGGGCUUGCGCCUGAUUAGCUAGUUGGUGGGGCAACGGCCUACCAAGGCGACGAUCAGUAGCCGGACUGAGAGGUUGAACGGCCACAUUGGGACUGAGAUACGGCCCAGACUCCUACGGGAGGCAGCAGUCGGGAAUAUUGCGCAAUGGAGGAAACUCUGACGCAGUGACGCCGCGUAUAGGAAGAAGGUUUUCGGAUUGUAAACUAUUGUCGUUAGGGAAGAUACAAGACAGUACCUAAGGAGGAAGCCCCGGCUAACUAUGUGCCAGCAGCCGCGGUAAUACAUAGGGGGCAAGCGUUAUCCGGAAUUAUUGGGUGUAAAGGGUGCGUAGACGGAGGAGCAAGUUGGUUGUGAAAUCCCUCGGCUUAACUGAGGAACUGCAACCAAAACUACUUCCCUUGAGUGUCGGAGAGGAAAGUGGAAUUCCUAGUGUAGCGGUGAAAUGCGUAGAUAUUAGGAGGAACACCAGUGGCGAAGGCGACUUUCUGGACGAUAACUGACGUUGAGGCACGAAAGUGUGGGGAGCAAACAGGAUUAGAUACCCUGGUAGUCCACACUGUAAACGAUGGAUA
rnacentral:rRNA from 1 species